UGAGGUAGUUCAACAUAAGUUUAUAUUUCUCUUAGGUGAAUAUCUAGGCAUGGGAUUGCUGGGCUGUGUGAGCAGAUUUCCCUGGGCUCCUGGUUGGGCACAGAGUGGCUGGAAGAGGGCAAUCUGUGGACGUGGAGAGUAAGUUAGUGGAAAAGAGCACUCAGCAGGAGCCAGGCUGGGGCAGUUGUGCUGAUGCUGGAGUGAGGAGAAGUGGAGGAAGCUGUGCUAGUGUUUUUAUCGUCAGAGGGAUCCACCUGGUUCACCUUUGCUUCUGCAGAGGCUCAACACUGCCCUUGUGUUUUCAAACAUAAAGCUACCCUCAAUGGAUUUCCAAGGUGAAUCCUGCAGCUGCAUCCAUCCCAGACACUGGGGCCUUGAGUGCCUGUGGAGAACACCUGCAGAUGCUGGGCCUCGCCAUGAUCACCGGAGGCUAAGGGGUUAGCACACCGAGUCCUCACUGCCAGGAGGCCACAGAAACUCCCAGUGCUGA